UUUUUUUUUUUUUUUUUUUUUUUUUUUUUUUUUUAAUC
rnacentral:ribozyme from 1 species